rnacentral:siRNA from 1 species
AACUGUCACUGGUCUACACCACAA